GGCAGUGGUGGCUUGGUGGUUAAGGCUCUGGGUUUACUGAUCGGAAGGUCAGGGGUUCAAGCCCCAGCACUGCCA